rnacentral:rRNA from 1 species
CAGCAGCCGGAAUACAGAGGGUGCGAGCGUUAAUCGGAUUUACUGGGCGUAAAGCGUGCGUAGGCGGCUUCUUAAGUCGGAUGUGAAAUCCCUGAGCUUAACUUAGGAAUUGCAUUCGAUACUGGGAAGCUAGAGUAUGGGAGAGGAUGGUAGAAUUCCAGGUGUAGCGGUGAAAUGCGUAGAGAUCUGGAGGAAUACCGAUGGCUAAGGCAGCCAUCUGGCCUAAUACUGACGCUGAGGUACGAAAGCAUGGGGAGCAAACAGGAUUAGAGACCCGAGUAGUCCCUGUCUCUUAUACACA